rnacentral:misc_RNA from 1 species
GAGAGUUUUUAAAGAUAUUUAAAGGUUUUAAAUUUAAUUUAAUUCUUUUUUUCUAUAUAUAUAUGUGAUUGACUCUAAAAGAUGUUUGUGUUGGAAAAUGUGCUCGGAAGAAGGCUCGUGUCCUGAAGUUCGAAGUGGGAGCUACGCUCGAGUACGACUACAGCUUUUACAAGAACUCAAACGCUGCUGGAUCUGCUAAUAUUGGUGAUAGAGUUAUGAGAGGCUCCACGGCACUCUCGAUGUGAUGACUAGUGAAUUAAUAGUGUUUCUAAAUAUACAAUUAACAUGGAGGUCUGGAGAUGUAUGGCAAGAUUUGUAUCUUU